GCUCCGUUAGCUUAGUCGGUAGAGCGUUGUGCUAAUAACGCAAAGGUCACAGGUUCGAUCCCUGUACGGAGCA
rfam:Batrachochytrium dendrobatidis JAM81 unplaced genomic scaffold BATDEscaffold_3, whole genome shotgun sequence.